rnacentral:tRNA from 1 species
ACUUAAUUUUAAACCAAGGGCCUUCAAAGCCCAAAAUAGGGACCACAUCCCCUAGUUUCUGCUUACAAGACUUG